rnacentral:lncRNA from 1 species
CGUGGGAAUGGUUGACAGAAGGGAGGUUUGGGGGGGGGGGGUGGAGAUGGGAAGAGAUGGGUUUUGUUCUCUGGGUGUGAACUCCUGGGAAGGAAGCUCUUCCCUGUAUGCAACACAAAGCAUUUUGCAGCCCUGCUGACUCUCCCACUUCAAAGAGGGGAACCCCUGCCCUGUCUCUCCAGGUGUCCUCCCAGCUCCUGCCCUCGUGUUGAACACCUUCAGUGCCCAGGAGGGACAAAGGGUUUUGGUUCAGUGUGCCAUUGAUGGGCGUUCUCCUGUUACACGAAUUGUCUUCUGCAAGGAUGGGGUGGAAACGUCCAGCCUGAAGGCCAUUCAGGGGCAGCUGACCUACAACAUGAUCCUGAAUGUCUCACUGGGAAGCUCGGGCAAGUACACGUGUGGGUACCAGCUCAAGGAUCAGAGCAACCAAGUGAAGAACUCUGCCCUCAGUGUCCCCCAGGACUUGGUAGCCAAAGGCAGUGCAGAUAGCUCCCCGGCAAAGCCAUCACCCCCAGCUCCCCAUGCCCGGCUCCCGCACGCCCUCCCCACAGGCACGGCGCUGGCAGUGGCGGCCGUCGGCCUCGUCCUCCUGGCUGCAGGCAACUGGUCUGCCAUCAGGAAAGGUGAGGGAGUGGGGGAAGGCGGGGGGAAAGGCUGAGGCCGUGGGGGUCCUGCUGCGGGGCUGGUGCAGGGGGAAAGGCGGUGGGGGGG